AUCUUUGCGCAGUGGCAAUACCGUAACCAAUGAAGUCCUCCUGAGGUGCGGUUAUUGCUAGUUGAAAACUUUAACCAAUAUAACGCGGCAUGAACAUUCUCUCAACUCGCCACUCGCAAUUGCUCGCAGUGUACUCUAAGCCAAAGCUGCAGUACU